GGCAGAUGAUGUCCUUAUCUCACGAUGGUCUGCGGAUGUCCCUGCGGGAGUGCCGACAAUGCCAAUGGCUUAGCUGAUGCCAGGAG
ensembl:snoRNA SNORD35A small nucleolar RNA, C/D box 35A